CUAACCUUAGCAAAAAGUAACUCUCAACACUCCUCCCAUUUCUCAACCACGUAUAGGACAAAACAGUUAGUGGUAUAAAAUGGAAGUUAUGGAUGAAUUGUUCUUUCUACACUCAUGUUUUUACUCCAUGAAUAUUAUAGGUAAAUAGCUAUUUUUAUCUUUGAAUUUAUUUUAUAUUCUGCGGGAACUGUUAGAAGUUUUCUGGAGAAGAAAAAGGACAAAAUAGCUGGUGUUGUUUUUUUGUACUAGGCCAUCAUCUAACAUAUAGAUAUGCAAACGAUACUUAAACUGAACCCUAGAAUCUGUAUUACCUUUUAGCUGUUCAUCAGCUUCUUAUAAGCAAUUAAACAAUGCAGAUUGCUCCCACUGUAUUUCCCUCUAGACAAACAGGAGGAAGAGAUUGUGAUACUAAAGCUCCCUAUUGUUGGGGAUGAGAAUGGUGAGACGGCAAUAGAUGGAAGGAAAAUAAGAAUAAGACAUUUGCCUGCUGGUGUGGUAGAUAGAAUAGUGUCUGCAACUAUUGUUACUCUUCCUCUUUUCUAAUUCUAUAGAGGGAGCAGGUGCAGAAGGUUGAGGCAAAACAACAUUCUGUACCAAUGUCUCUGGUAAAUACUCCUCUCUCUGUGUUUUUUUCCUUGGUUGAAGUUUUAAAAUGUGAUUGGUGAACUUUGCCACACCGAUUAUUAAUCAAGACAUGUCUUCUCUUUUGUAGAUAUGCCAAUUAUGAGGAAGGCUUCUCUUCACCGCUUCCUUGAGAAGAGAAAGGACCGUCUCAAUGCAAAUGGACCAUACCAAACUUCUCCUUCAGACGCUGCACCAGUCAAGAAGGAGCCCGAGAGCCAGGCAUGGCUCGGAUUAGGACCGAAUGCCGUCAAGUCCAACCUGAACCUAAGCUAGCACACAACGACACAGCCAAAUAAGACGGCACAGCAACCUCACCAAAGCCUUUGCAGGACGAUCUAAAAAUAUGCUUUGCCACUAGAGUACCGAAACCAUAAAUAUUCUCUCGUUAUCGUGUUUUGUGUUAUGUUUAGGUCGUGGUCCUAUGCCCUCUUGUCACAGUUCUGGAUGUAAAGAUAAGUAGCCAGCCAUGACCAAGAGAAGUUUUUUUUUGGGGGGGUGUUAACACACGGCCACUCUGAAUUGGCCAUGCUAAGGAAAAUGAUAGUAGUGCAAAGAGAAGUAUAUGUCUUUUUUCUUUUUCUUUUUCUGAAAGCCAGAUCAUUUGGCUCUAGCCUUGAUGUAUGCAGAACAAGUGAUUGUAAUGGAUUCUGAGUAUCCUCAUCGUCUUGCUGUUGCUUCACCAACCCAAGUUUGUUUGGAUUCUUGCCA